CAACUAUGUAAAAUCGAAGCCCUAGUUAUCGAUUUUAGAAUUAGGGUUAUAAGUUUCAGCCAUUCAUCUUCACAACCAUUUUCACUGGCACAAGCAAAGUCAGAGAGCUCUUUCCGCCUCCAGAAUCGAAAAUGGUUGGUCACUUUCUCUCUCCGUGAUCACAUGAAUAUCCUUUUAUAUUUUCUCUGAAUAUGGAUUUUUUUAAUGUAAUUUGUAUAUACAGCCGUCACACAAGACAUUCAUGAUAAAGAAGAAGCUGGCGAAGAAGCAGAGGCAGAACAGGCCAAUUCCGUACUGGAUCAGGCUGCGCACUGACAAUACCAUCCGCUACAAUGCGAAGCGUCGCCAUUGGCGCCGCACGAAGCUCGGCUUCUAAGCCAAGCCCUUACUUGUUAGCGUUCUUACAUUCUGCUUUGGUUUCCCAUUAGGGUUUAAUGUUUUGGAAUUGAAUCAUCAGUAUUGAGAUUGCUAUGUAUUUUAAAUGAUUUUAAUACUUCUAUGUCUUGAAUUAACAUAGAAAUUUGAUUUUGGUAAUUUUGUUCAGUGGUUUCUAUUCUUUCUGUGAUAUAAAUGGUUUGAUUGGUUUCUCACUUCUAGAUGUAGUGAGAGUCUGAACCCACCACAUAGGUUUCUUGGCUGGGUUUGAAUCACUUACCGUGGCUCUUAUACGGAGGGCUCCCUUCCUGAAUGCUAAUUUCUAUAGACAGUGGAUUGACCCCUUAUAUAAUUGAUUGAUUUUGAAAUGUUAGGAUUCUGUCUUUUGCCUUAAUUUAUCUCGCAUGCUGAAUCAACUCAUUGCAAUUAUGCUAGAUGUCCUUGGCACUACUUGGUUAUAGAGUGAUAGAUUGAAAGGUGAUAUUGAAGAGAGAGAGGUGUAGAAGACGAUUAUGUGAAAAUUACCACACCCCUUACGUUUCAAGAUUCAAGUGAUUAUAUGAAUAACAUUAUUCUUGGUUGGAAAAUUCUACUUGUACAUAAUUAUUGCACAUAAUGGUGUCCAUAAUGUAUUGUGGCAAUCAUCCAGUUGUUGAUGUACAAGUGUGAGAUUUGAAUUAAAUGUUGGAUCUAGUGCCAUGUGUAAUUAUGGACACCAUUAUGUAGGCAAUUAUGUACAUAUAGCACUUCCCUGCUUGGGUAUACCUGCAAAUAGCUGGCUGUAUUAUCAUCUGUAUUCUUCAUUAUUGUCUGAUAGGUUUGUAGUAUUAUUGGGCCACUUUUGUAAAUGAAAUGCUAUAUUCAGUACGAC
rnacentral:lncRNA from 1 species